rnacentral:rRNA from 1 species
AACGAACGCUGGCGGCAUGCCUAACACAUGCAAGUCGAACGAGAUCUUCGGGUCUAGUGGCGCACGGGUGCGUAACGCGUGGGAAUCUGCCCUUUGGUUCGGAAUAACAGUUGGAAACGACUGCUAAUACCGGAUGAUGACGAAAGUCCAAAGAUUUAUCGCCAGAGGAUGAGCCCGCGUAGGAUUAGCUAGUUGAUGUGGUAAAGGCGCACCAAGGCGACGAUCCUUAGCUGGUCUGAGAGGAUGAUCAGCCACACUGGGACUGAGACACGGCCCAGACUCCUACGGGAGGCAGCAGUGGGGAAUACUGGACAAUGGGCGAAAGCCUGAUCCAGCAAUGCCGCGUGAGUGACGAAGGCCUUAGGGUUGUAAAGCUCUUUUACCCGGGAUGAUAAUGACAGUACCGGGAGAAUAAGCUCCGGCUAACUCCGUGCCAGCAGCCGCAGUAA